CCUAAGGUAGCGAAAUUCCUUGUCGGGUAAGUUCCGACCUGCACGAAUGGCGUAAUGAUGGCCAGGCUGUCUCCACCCGAGACUCAGUGAAAUUGAACUCGCUGUGAAGAUGCAGUGUACCCGCGGCAAGACGGAAAGACCCCGUGAACCUUUACUAUAGCUUGACACUGAACAUUGAGCCUUGAUGUGUAGGAUAGGUGGGAGGCUUUGAAGUGUGGACGCCAGUCUGCAUGGAGCCGACCUUGAAAUACCACCCUUUAAUGUUUGAUGUUCUAACGUUGACCCGUAAUCCGGGUUGCGGACAGUGUCUGGUGGGUAGUUUGACUGGGGCGGUCUCCUCCUAAAGAGUAACGGAGGAGCACGAAGGUUGGCUAAUCCUGGUCGGACAUCAGGAGGUUAGUGCAAUGGCAUAAGCCAGCUUGACUGCGAGCGUGACGGCGCGAGCAGGUGCGAAAGCAGGUCAUAGUGAUCCGGUGGUUCUGAAUGGAAGGGCCAUCGCUCAACGGAUAAAAGGUACUCCGGGGAUAACAGGCUGAUACCGCCCAAGAGUUCAUAUCGACGGCGGUGUUUGGCACCUCGAUGUCGGCUCAUCACAUCCUGGGGCUGAAGUAGGUCCCAAGGGUAUGGCUGUUCGCCAUUUAAAGUGGUACGCGAGCUGGGUUUAGAACGUCGUGAGACAGUUCGGUCCCUAUCUGCCGUGGGCGCUGGAGAACUGAGGGGGGCUGCUCCUAGUACGAGAGGACCGGAGUGGACGCAUCACUGGUGUUCGGGUUGUCAUGCCAAUGGCACUGCCCGGUAGCUAAAUGCGGAAGAGAUAAGUGCUGAAAGCAUCUAAGCACGAAACUUGCCCCGAGAUGAGUUCUCCCUGACCCUUUAAGGGUCCUGAAGGAACGUUGAAGACGACGACGUUGAUAGGCCGGGUGUGUAAGCGCAGCGAUGCGUUGAGCUAACCGGUACUAAUGAACCGUGAGGCUUAACCUU
rnacentral:rRNA from 1 species